rnacentral:rRNA from 1 species
AGCGAACGCUGGCGGCAGGCCUAACACACGCAAGUCGAACGGACCCUUCGGGGUUAGUGGCGGACGGGUGAGUAACACGUGGGAACGUGCCUUUAGGUUCGGAAUAGCUCCUGGAAACGGGUGGUAAUGCCGAAUGUGCCCUUCGGGGGAAAGAUUUAUCGCCUUUAGAGCGGCCCGCGUCUGAUUAGCUAGUUGGUGAGGUAAAGGCUCACCAAGGCUACGAUCAGUAGCUGGUCUGAGAGGAUGACCAGCCACAUUGGGACUGAGACACGGCCCAAACUCCUACGGGAGGCAGCAGUGGGGAAUCUUGCGCAAUGGGCGAAAGCCUGACGCAGCCAUGCCGCGUGGGUGAUGAAGGUCUUAGGAUUGUAAAAUCCUUUCACCGGUGAAGAUAAUGACUGUAGCCGGAGAAGAAGCCCCGGCUAACUUCGUGCCAGCCGCCGCCGUAAAAC